GGAUGAGAGACGGAUAUAUCCCAACAUCCUAAAAUGAAGAAAAAUAAAAUAAUAAAUUUUGAUAUGGAGAUGUACCUUUCGAUACGGAGGUGUAUCUUUCGAUACAUUCCUUCAAUUCUCAAACAGAUUAUUCCUACACAUUCCAUUAAAUGAUAUGAAACUAUAGACACCCCAGCCCAUUAAUUGGAUGGUUAGAUUAAAUUUUUAGCCCCU
rnacentral:lncRNA from 1 species